ACCCCAAAGCCCUUCUCCCUUCUCUCCAUGCAGAACCUCCCCAAAGGCCUCACCAUCUCAAAACCAGCCAACAACUCAAACCUACCGUCUUCACUCGCUGGCAGCGCCAUUGCUGGAGCUAUCUUCUCAACCUUGAGCUCAUGUGACCCCGCCUUAGCUGCACAACAGAUUGCUGAAAUAGCUGAAGGAGACAACCGUGGGCUAGCUCUAUUGCUUCCCAUAAUCCCAGCGAUCGCUUGGGUCCUCUUCAACAUCCUCCAGCCAGCACUUAACCAGCUGAACCGAAUGAGGAGCUCCAAAGGGGUUAUCAUAGGGCUAGGGCUCGGAGGAUUGGCUGCAUCAGGGUUCAUGUCAACACCGGAAGCAUCGGCCAGUGAGAUAGCUAUGGUAGCUGAUGCUGCAUCUAGUGACAAUAGGGGUACCCUUCUCCUCUUCGUUGUAGCACCAGCUCUUCUUUGGGUGGCCUACAACAUUCUGCAACCGGCUUUGAACCAGCUUAAUAGGAUGAGAUCUCAGUGAGAUUGUGGAUCUUGUAUGGGGUGUAAUGGCAUGUAAAUUACCUGUAAUUGCACCUUAUGUUAAUGAAGCUUUCUCGUUAUUUACUUUAAACAAAAAAUAACAAAUUUUCCUUGGUUAUAGUUCCAUUAAUUUCAUCCCUUAUAAUCUAUAUAUUCGUAUUAUUAUAUUUAUGUCAUUUUUUAAUAUAAUUGUAUUAUCGAAGUUAAUAUAAUUUUAAGCUUUUACAUAAAA
rnacentral:lncRNA from 1 species